UACGAAGGGUGCAAGCGUUAAUCGGAAUUACUGGGCGUAAAGCGCGCGUAGGUGGUUCGGCAAGUUGGAUGUGAAAGCCCCGGGCUCAACCUGGGAACUGCAUCCAAAACUACUGGGCUAGAGUACGGUAGAGGGUGGUGGAAUUUCCUGUGUAGCGGUGAAAUGCGUAGAUAUAGGAAGGAACACCAGUGGCGAAGGCGACCACCUGGACCGAUACUGACACUGAGGUGCGAAAGCGUGGGGAGCAAACAGG
rnacentral:rRNA from 1 species